rnacentral:rRNA from 1 species
GACGAACGCUGGCGGCGUGCUUAACACAUGCAAGUCGAACGGAAAGGCCUGUCCUUCCUUGUGUUGGACGGGUACUCGAGUGGCGAACGGGUGAGUAACACGUGAGUGAUCUGCCCCCAACUUGGGUAUAAGCCUGGGAAACUGGGUCUAAUUCCCGAUAGGACUGCAGGGUGGUGCCUGUGGUGGAAAACGAUUUUCUAGUGGUUGGGGAUGAGCUCGCGGCCUAUCAGCUUGUUGGUGGGGUAAUGGCCUACCAAGGCGGCGACGGGUAGCCGGCCUGAGAGGGUGGACGGCCACAUUGGGACUGAGAUACGGCCCAGACUCCUACGGGAGGCAGCAGUGGGGAAUAUUGCACAAUGGGCGGAAGCCUGAUGCAGCGACGCCGCGUGGGGGAUGACGGCCUUCGGGUUGUAAACUCCUUUCGACCGCGAGGAAGCCGCCUGGUUGGAAGGGUGGUGACGGUAGUGGUAGAAGAAGCACUGGCUAACUACGU